AGUGAACGCUGGCGGUAGGCCUAACACAUGCAAGUCGAACGGCGGCACAGAGGAGCUUGCUCCUUGGGUGGCGAGUGGCGGACGGGUGAGGAAUACAUCGGAAUCUACUCUGUCGUGGGGGAUAACGUAGGGAAACUUACGCUAAUACCGCAUACGACCUACGGGUGAAAGCAGGGGAUCUUCGGACCUUGCGCGAUUGAAUGAGCCGAUGUCGGAUUAGCUAGUUGGCGGGGUAAAGGCCCACCAAGGCGACGAUCCGUAGCUGGUCUGGGGGGAUGAUCAGCCACACUGGAACUGAGACACGGUCCAGACGCCUACGGGAGGCAGCAGUGGGGAAUAUUGGACAAUGGGCGCAAGCCUGAUCCAGCCAUACCGCGUGGGUGAAGAAGGCCUUCGGGUUGUAAAGCCCUUUUGUUGGGAAAGAAAUCCAUCUGGUUAAUACCCGGGUGGGAUGACGGUACCCAAAGAAUAAGCACCGGCUAACUUCGUGCCAGCAGCCGCAGUAA
rnacentral:rRNA from 1 species